rnacentral:rRNA from 1 species
CAGCAGCCGCGGUAAUACGAAGGGGGCUAGCGUUACUCGGAAUUACUGGGCGUAAAGGGCGCGUAGGCGGCACGAUUAGUCAGGCGUGAAAUUCCUGGGCUCAACCUGGGGACUGCGCCUGAUACGGUCGAGCUAGAGGAUGGAAGAGGGUCGUGGAAUUCCCAGUGUAGAGGUGAAAUUCGUAGAUAUUGGGAAGAGCACCGGUGGCGAAGGCGGCGACCUGGUCCAUUACUGACGCUGAGGCGCGACAGCGUGGGGAGCAAACAGGAUUAGAUACCCCAGAGUCCCUGUCUCUUAUACA